AUUAUUCUACAAUGCAAAAAAUAAAGAAAACCCCUGGAAUGAAUAGGUGUGUCCAAACUUUAGACUGGUACUGUACAUUACUUCUAAACUAGAUUUAUUUUCUUACUAUAUGUUUGAGUGAUGAUCUUUAAUUCACAGGCCACAUACAAAACCUGGUGGAUUUGUUGUUCAGCAGCAUCGUGGUCCGUCCUGGAAUUCACCUAAACACCAUUUAUAAUGUAAUCAGUGCUGUGUUGUCCGCUUCCACUGUGCCAAUGGACUACUAUUGGGCAAUGCCCCCCCCCCCAAAAAAAAAAUUAUGCACUGAGCGAAUUUGUGCAACUUCCGGUGCAACCAAUGUGUGGUGUUCAAUGUAGAGACCUUUGGAAAAACACAUGCAGGCUUGACAUUAACCUGCUUAUCCACUUGUCUUUCAGAGAAGGACAUGACUGAAAAUGUUGUUUGAUGCAAGAAACUACUUUCAAAAUAAAGAUCAUUAUUAUUGCCAUACCAUUUAUUACAGAGAAUCAAGAGAUCAUGCUACGUUCUGCCUGUUGGCUACUUAGCAUUCAAAAAGUCUCAAAAUACAACACUGCCCAUUUUAAGACACAAAAAAGCUCUUUACCUGGCUAGCUUUUCAAAGAUGGCUAGAAAUGCACACAUUUUGUGCUCUUGUAUGAAGAAAUCACUCCCCCAUUAUUGACUAGAAAUGAGCUAUAACUGGGCUAAUAACUCGCCUACUAGUUUAGAAUAUGAAAAAACGUGCACGUGGCUACAUGCAGCUCUCGCUUUCGUCGCAAAACAAGCGCAUCUACUCACUACCGCUCAUGCUGUAGCCUAAACAACAGUCCAGUUUAAAGGAAAUGGCACAGAUCCAUAUAUGGCAAUGGAUAUUUACAUAUAGGCCGACUGCAGCUCUUACUGGUUAUGGUGCACUGGUCUGUGCCUGUCAAUGCAAUAGAAUCCUACUCCAAUGCACUCUGCCUACAAGAAAAUCUCUUUGCAUACUAUGUUCGUUUUGGUAUGUAACAUUGAAAGUGAUUCGAUCACAAUUCCCACACUAGAGCGAAACGUAAAACUCUAGAAAGUUGAAGUUCACUCUAGUGCUUCUCUGAGUGGGCUGUUACUACUUCUGCACAGCAGUCAAGGGAAGCUGCUCGCCUGCGCUUGCAGCUUUGAGGGAACAUUGCUCCUGGGCCUGAGUGAGUAAUGCCAACCAGUCAGUGCCAUGCUGGCACGUGUCCCUUGUGAAUUAGCCAAUCAGAGAUCCUAAUUCACAGCUAUGUUCAACCGUGUGUUUAGUGUUGGCUUCUAUGACUGUAUGGUGCCUGUCUGUGUGAUAUAGGAGCUGAAGUCAGGCUCCUUCAUGACCAGUAUCUAUGAUGAGUGGCCUGGAGCUGAUCUACUCUGCCAUGCCCAUCAGGCAUUGGCAAACACCUCAGAAGAUGGGCAGAAUAGAUUAUUUUUAAAUGGAGUCCUUUGACUGAAAGAAAGGUUGAUACUGAUGACUGUAUUGGGAGAGACCUUGCAAGACAAUUAAACAAGACACAUCUAUUACUUUC